rnacentral:lncRNA from 1 species
ACUCUAUCAAAAGCAGACAAGAAAGGCCAAUGAGAGAAGCGUCUUACUGGGCCUAAUGCUUCGACCUCCCAAUAAGGAGGUCUUCUUGCCUCAGUCUCCUGGGAUUAAAGGCAUGUACUACCUUGCCUGGGCCCAAGCUUUUCAUGGCCACUGUGCCUCAAGAUCUCCAUGUCAAGAUCCAGGUCAGAAACUUGUGUCUUCCAGCCUCAAGAUCUGGAUCACAGUUCAUUCCAGAUAUCGUCAAGCUGACAAGGAAUAGCCAUCACAGUCCUCCUACCUCUGCUUCUCGAAUGGCGUGGGAUUCCAGAGACUCAGUAUCCUUCACUUUGUAUAGAAGGCGGAGCUGAUAGCAGAAGUCCUUGGAGAGGAGGGCUAGUGAGGUGACUCAGCAGGUGAAGAUGCUGGCUGCCCUACCAAACUACUAGUCCGUGUGGGACUGUCCUCGGGGCGAUGCGGAAGUGCCUGCACUGCCGGAGGUAAACAAGUUCCUGCCCCCACCGAAACAGGAGCAAACAGGAGGUUCACGUUCCCACCGCUUUGCAACACUGUUUCAGUACCUCCCCUCCCCCUCUUUCCCAGGCGCUAGCUGAUGGAGGCCAACACCAAAGAAUGACCAUCAUCUCCCCCACCAACGCUGGCGAACCUUUCUCUUUUCUCCUGGGUAAUAAUACUGUGUCCCAGGCUUGCUCAGCGGGUGGCCAUAGGAGUCUGGGAGACCCGGUCCAGUGGACAGGGUUUUGGGGUUCCGCUUAGAGUUGCUUCAGUCUAUAGAAAGCUGAGCCGGGCUCUGCCUCUUCUAUCGCAUGACCCCCACCCGGUGGUGGUGUCCCCAAGAGGAGAUCACCCGGAUUCCCCCCACCCCCUUCUACCUCUGCGCAGAGGGAACGCUGCUACUUUCGGAGUUGUACUCCUUGGUCCGGGAUAUUCCUAGACCCUGCGCCUGAGGGGCUGGGAGCGCAGCGCUUUGUUAUUCAGCCGGAAAGAUGCCCCAAGAAUUAAAAGACUUUAUAAAAUGUAGGUUGACUACA